rnacentral:rRNA from 1 species
CGGCAACAGCUCAGAUUUGAAAUCUGGCCCUAGGCCCGAGUUGUAAUCUGUAGAGGAUGCUUUUGGUUAGGUGCCUUCCGAGUUCCCUGGAACGGGACGCCAUAGAGGGUAAGAGCCCCGUACAGUUGGACACCACGCCUUUGUAAAGCUCCUUCGAC